rnacentral:lncRNA from 1 species
AACAGGCCCUUCUCCAGCUUGUGGCACUCAGGUUUAACAAGAAGAAAAAGAAGAACAACAAAGAGUGAAGGAGUAGUGGCCGUGUCUGAAUGGUUUAUUUCCUAUGGUGUCUUGUGAUGAUCAAAUGCAAAAGACGGCGCCUAUGAGUCACAGCCUGUGGUGGUGAAUAUAUCAGAGAUCUGAGAGUCCCCGAUGAGGAGCAAAAGUGGAGAGGCAGAUAGAAGAGAGAGCCAUUGAAACAGACAGU